UAAUGUCUGGGAAACUGCCUGAUGGAGGGGGAUAACUACUGGAAACGGUAGCUAAUACCGCAUAACGUCGCAAGACCAAAGAGGGGGACCUUCGGGCCUCUUGCCAUCGGAUGUGCCCAGAUGGGAUUAGCUUGUUGGUGGGGUAACGGCUCACCAAGGCGACGAUCCCUAGCUGGUCUGAGAGGAUGACCAGCCACACUGGAACUGAGACACGGUCCAGACUCCUACGGGAGGCAGCAGUGGGGAAUAUUGCACAAUGGGCGCAAGCCUGAUGCAGCCAUGCCGCGUGUAUGAAGAAGGCCUUCGGGUUGUAAAGUACUUUCAGCGGGGAGGAAGGGAGUAAAGUUAAUACCUUUGCUCAUUGACGUUACCCGCAGAAGAAGCACCGGCUAACUCCGUGCCAGCAGCCGCGGUAAUACGGAGGGUGCAAGCGUAAUCGGAA
rnacentral:rRNA from 1 species